UUCACCCAGGGCCGGAAAGUUGUCCAAACUUGGUCAUUUAGAGGAAGUAAAAGUCGUAACAAGGUCUCCGUAGAGCAGUGAUCUCUCUGCAGCGAACUUAAGGAAGCCUUUGCACCCCUAACGGGGGCUCUCGCGACUCUAAAUAAGGAGGCAUGCAAGUGACAAAGCCCAACGGCUGAGUUGCAACACAAUCGAAUUGCGGGGAAGUCCUAAAGCCUCAGGGUACUAACCUGCUGUAGGAAUGCAGCAGGGGCCUGUGUUAAUCGCACAGGGUAUAGUAACAACCCCGGAGGAUCUAGCCAGGUGUGCUAGAAUGGACGAUCCGCAGCGAAGCCCCUAGACCAGGGGAACGUUCACAGACUAAGUGGUUGUGGGUAGGAGGGACUCCUGCUUAAGAUAUAGUCGGGCCGGCGCGGAAACGCGCUGGGGAUUCGCAAGAACGUAAACCGCUCCGUAGGUGAACCUGCGGAGGGAUC
rnacentral:rRNA from 1 species